UCCUGGUGGUCCAGUGGCUAAGACUGGACACUCCCAAAGAAGGAGGCCCAGGUUCAAUCCCUGAUCAGAGAA